rnacentral:rRNA from 1 species
AAUACGGAGGAUGCGAGCGUUAUCCGGAUUUAUUGGGUUUAAAGGGUGCGUAGGCGGUUUAUUAAGUUAGUGGUUAAAUAUUUGAGCUAAACUCAAUUGUGCCAUUAAUACUGGUAAACUGGAGUACAGACGAGGUAGGCGGAAUAAGUUAAGUAGCGGUGAAAUGCAUAGAUAUAACUUAGAACUCCGAUAGCGAAGGCAGCUUACCAGACUGUAACUGACGCUGAUGCACGAGAGCGUGGGUAGCGAACAGGAUUAGAUACCCUGGUAGUCCACGCCGUAAACGAUGCUCACUGGUUCUGUGCGAUAUAUUGUACGGGAUUAAGCGAAAGUAUUAAGUGAGCCACCUGGGGAGUACGUCGGCAACGAUGAAACUCAAAGGAAUUGACGGGGGCCCGCACAAGCGGAGGAACAUGUGGUUUAAUUCGAUGAUACGCGAGGAACCUUACCCGGGCUUGAAAGUUAGUGACGGAUGCCGAAAGGUGUCUUCCCUUCGGGGCACGAAACUAGGUGCUGCAUGGUUGUCGUCAGCUCGUGCCGUGAGGUGUCGGGUUAAGUCCCAUAACGAGCGCAACCCUUACCGUUAGUUGCUAGCAUGUAAUGAUGAGCACUCUAACGGGACUGCCACCGUAAGGUGAGAGGAAGGCGGGGAUGACGUCAAAUCAGCACGGCCCUUACACCCAGGGCUACACACGUGUUACAAUGGCCGGUACAGAGGGCCGCUACCAGGUGACUGGAUGCCAAUCUCAAAAGCCGGUCGUAGUUCGGAUUGGAGUCUGUAACCCGACUCCAUGAAGUUGGAUUCGCUAGUAAUCGCGCAUCAGCCAUGGCGCGGUGAAUACGUUCCCGGGCC